rnacentral:rRNA from 1 species
UCAGUAACACGUAGUCAAUCUGCCCCGUGGAGGUGUAUAACCCCGGGAAACUGGGGACAAUCCGCCAUAGGUGAUGGAUGCUGGAACGCACCACCGCCGAAAUGGUUGCGGCAUCUACUGGCCGUAUUCCGCCGCGGGAUGAGACUGCGCCCGAUUAUGGUAGAAGGCGGUGUAACGGACUCGCCUUGCCUGUAAUCGGUACCAGCAUUGGGAGAUGGAGCUGGGAGAUGGGUACUGAGACAAGGACCCAGGCCCUACGGGGCGCAGCAGUUGCGAAACCUCCGCAAUGCGCGAAAGCGUGACGGGGUUACCCCAAGUGCCAUCCGCUGAGGACGGCUUUUCUUUGGUGUAAUGAGCCAAAGGAAUAAGGGGAGGGCAAGACUGGUGUCAGCCGCCGCGGUAAUACCAGCUCCCCGAGUGGUAGGGACAAUUAUUGGGCUUAAAGCGUCCGUAGCCGGCCUGACAAGUCUUUCGUUAAAUCCAGCGACUUAAUCGUUGGGCUGCGGGAGAUACUAUCGGGCUAGGGGACGGGAGAGGCCGAUGGUAUUCUUGGGGUAGGGGUGAAAUCCUAUAAUCCCAGGAGGACCACCAGUGGCGAAGGCGAUCGGCUAGAACGCGCUCGACGGUGAUGGACGAAAGCUGGGGGAGCGAACCGGAUUAGAUACCCGGGUAGUCCCAGCUGUAAACGAUGCGAGCUAGGUGUUGGGGUG